ACUGAGGCUAGAGUCACGCCUGGACACUGCCCCAUUGUUCUGGUGUGCUAGAGUUCUCAAAGAGAAAACUUCUUUGCUUAUUCAUUGACUGAAGCCUACUGUGGCCCAGUCAAUCACCAUCUCAGAGACACUG